AUUGACAGCUUUGCCACUGAGGCACACGUUUAAGGAACAGGGUGGCCCCUGUCACAUGACAGUCCAAACAGACCUACAAGAGGAAAGAGACAAGGCAUGGCAGCAGGUGGUCUGAACACGUCGUCAGUUUGGGGCAGAGGGACCAAAAUAUCCUCACUGCAUUUAUGACAUCACUUGUAAUGUUCAACUUUGGGUAUGGGAUGAUGCCGAGCAUGAAGGUCAGACAAGUUGUGCUUCACUCACCACCAGGAACCAAUAAGAGGAACAGAAAAAGCUGACUGCAGCAGUCACAGUCACCGAGGAGUUGGAGCUGUGACGGGUCAUCGUGUUCAAAAGUGUGUCUGCGUUUUGUUUGGGAAGAAAAUGCGUCUGAAGGAUGAGCAAACCCUUUCAACACCAUGGUAGAAUGAUGAAAGAGGGUUCCGUGUUUAGUCUGUGACACCACACACCCUGGAGCUAACAGCUAGCACGUCGGUUAGCACGCAGCUAACUGUGCAGAAUCAGAAUAACAUUUAUUGCCAUGGUCAGUGGGGGUUCCACCAACUAGGAAAGUGCUUCGAAAUAAAGUGCUGUUAAUAAAAUAAAAUAAAAU